CACUCCAGGAAGUUGAUCACAAGCCAUUUUUUUCUGGAACAGAGUAUGCUCUGGAUCAUCACUAAGAAUGUGGAGGAAGACGCAUCAUAGACUGUGAUAACCAAUCAUAAACAUAUCUGGCAUUAAAGUACCUCUCCUUCAGUCCCAGACAUCCAGUUGGCCACCAAGGCCUUCUGACAUGACCUCUGAAUGAUUUUUUUAAUCUGAGUCCCCCGUUCUUCCCCCACUGCUCUGCUUUAGCUCCAGGUCCUCAUCCUCUAACAUGGGCAUUAACAUAGUCUCUCAACUGCAUUGCUGGUCGUCUUAUGUAGUUUUUCUGCUCUUGCUCACUGAAUCCUCCAAACCGUCAUCAGAAAGAACAUUCUCAAAGGCAAACCUCAUCAUAUUACCUUCUUGUUUAAAGUCUGCUAAUGAUUUCUAAUAAAGUCAAUUCUUCCAAGUUUUUCAAGCAAGGUCAUUGGUGAUACUGCAUCUUUUUACAUGCCAAAUCCUAUUUUCACCACAUUCCUACUUUCAUACCAACAUCCUAAUAUACAUGUUCCAAAUGCCUCCCUUUGCCCAAGCUGCCUCUCUGCUGGGAAUAUUCUCUUUUCUUUCUCUGCCCAGAUAAACCUCUUAUCUUCUAAGACCAUGUCAUUCUUUUUAUCACCCCGUGAAGCUCUUCUUGACCAUGACUCUCUACCACCGAGGGAGGGUUGAUCACCCUUGGAGCCCGACAGCCCUUCAUUAUCCAUUAUCAGCACUUCCAAUGAACUGCAGUGUUUGUCACCUUGUCUCUGUACACUACUCCAUGGGUCCUUAGAGUUAGGAACCAUGCUGCAUUCCUCUUUGUGUCUUGAGGAUCUAGUGCCAUUGUCAACAGAGUAGGCACUCCGUGAAUGUCUGAUGAAUUCAAUAAUUAAAUAAAUAUGGUCACUGUGUAAAACAGUUAUCACCAUAUCUCAGGGGACUGUGAAAAAUACACUGCCACCACAGAUCUAGUGGAAAUGUUUUCAGUGGAUUAAUCUUUGAGAUUCUCCAACAAUGGAGAUUAAGGAGGUGAUGUUAGUAGUGAAAAUACCUAUGUUAGGAAUUCCCGUCGUGGCGCAGUGGUUAACGAAUCCGACUAGGAACCAUGAGGUUGCGGGUUUGAUCCCUGCCCUUGCUCAGUGGGUUAACGAUCCGGCGUUGCCGUGAGCUGUGGUGUAGGUUGCAGACACGGCUCGGAUCCCGCUGUGGCUCUGGCGUAGGCCGGUGGCUACAGCUCUGAUUCGACCCCUAGCCUGGGAACCUCCAUAUGCCGCGGGAGCGGCCCAAGAAAUAGCAAAAAGACAAAAAAAAAAAAAAAAAAAAGAAAAUACCUAUGUUAGCACUGCCACAACCCUAAAGGGAAAUGACCAACCUCAAAUCCUUUUAUUAAAUAACUUCAUCACCUAUGUUAUCUAAAGAUCAGCAGAACUGCAGCCUAAAGCAGAGCCAACAGGCAACAUGGCCACUCUCCAUGGAGGUCUGUCUGAUGGUGUUGUCAGAAGGGAAGGCAAGGACAAGAAGUGAGUUUGAUUAGAGGAAACAGUUCUGAAAGUUGGGUCUCAGCCUCUGCUCCCCCAUGUUCCCGCUGCUUCAGGCUCAGCUCAACUGGUCACCGAGAUGAAUUAGCACCUCAAGCAGAAAAGAUAUUAGGAGCUCCGGCUCAGCAUCAUCAGUCAGAGCUCAGGUUUCUCUACCCUGUCUUCUGCCUCCCACUUCUGAGGCCCAGAACCUAUCUUACACUCCAGUUUCUGCUGAUGAAAACAAUAAUAAUAAUAAUGCUAUUUCACACAUUAAUACAACCUAACUACAUGCCAGGCACCAGUCUCGGUACUUUACAAGCAAGUUUAAUCUUCAAGACAAACCAGUUCAUUAGGUACUGAAUAAUUUCAUAGGUGAUGGAAAUAGAGGCACAGAAAAGUUUCCAUCUGUAGCCUGCUCCUUGGUAUCUCCUGAUCAUGGUCUAUUUCCUAUAGAGUCCAUGAUUUGAACUUUUUGGGUUCCUUUACCAUUCAUAUAAUAUGCUCUGAACUUUGAGAUGGACCUGCACAUCCUCUGUCCCCAGGAACCAUGCCACCUCCCAGUCUAUAGAUUCAUCUGCUAAUUCCAGUCCUGGCCUGAAGAGAAGAGCAAAAGACAGUCAUAAGGUCACUUAUUUUCCACUCUAAUAGGGAUUCUUAAUGCUGAUAGGAUUAAACUUAGGGUGUGUAAGAAAAAUAAAACAUGGAGUGAUGGCAGGCACCCACACUAUGCAAAACCUAAUUAUGGAGAGAAGACAGACCUGAUGCUGCUAUUAAGAAUGCAUCACUUUGCAGACACUUCCCUACACAUCUAUGCAGGCUUCCAAACUCUCUUUAUAACAAAACACACGACAUACAUUAUCUAUGCAUAAGACGACACAACUCAUUCUUGCUCCAUUACCAGGGAGGGGGAAUCCGUGGAAAUAUCUGGAAGAGAUUCAGGAUUUUUUUUGUUGUUGUUCACAACAAGCCUUUUCAGUGAAUUGGGUGUUCAUUUACUCUCACAUUGGUAUAGUUCAGAUAAUAACAGCUGUUUCAUGCUCAGAGCUGAGGUCAAUGUCACAGAAGUGGCUCAGCAAUAAUUCCCCAUUUCAGGGAGUUGGGUGAUCAGGUAGGAAAGCCUGUAGAAGAGGAAACAGAAUCUGCCCACUGCUUGGACCUGGAACGCAGCCUGCAUUUCCAAACAUGUGUAGUACAUAGAGGUGCCUAUCAAAUUUCCUCUAAGCUCUCUGAAAAAUGCAGAUUCGGUUUCAUUGCACCUCUCUAAAUCAGAACCUGCCAGCUCUGGCCUGGAGAUGUAGACGGAGAUACAGAUAUAUAAUCUUAAAAGGAGAUUCUGAUACAUAUUACUAAUUUAAAAAUACCCCCAGAAUUAUCAUCUGAGAAAAGAACGCUAAUAGCAUGGAUAUUUUGCUCCAAUAUUAUCAGUAAAUAUAUAUGAGAUACUGACGAACUGAUCCAAAAGACUGAGGAAUACAAGGAUGUCGUCAAAUGUGGGGCCAUCCCAAUCGUAUUGCAAUGGGCCCUGGAAAAAUCUCACAAUGACGACUACUCUUCAAUGAGAUCUAAUUUGAAGACAGAGGGAAGAAAUGAGUGCACAGCUGACCCUCACCUAAGAGAAACAUAUGAAAGAUGCUUAAAUUAGAAGAGAGAAAUUAAGAGUAUAAAUAUGAGCUUUAGAGAAGACGCGUGAAAGGUGAUUAACUAUCAAGGUGUUUGCUACCUAUCUGGUACCUUUAAGUUAUAACUUAAUUCAUAAAUGUUUGAUGAGCAUAAUUUGAAGAAGGACUUCUUGGUCUAUUUACUCUAUAAAAAUAAAUCGAUGCUGGCCUGUAAAUGUCCAAAUCUACAAAGGCGAAUUUUCCAAAGUCACAACACUGACCAGAUGUCUCUGCUCUUUAGCCUCCAUUGAUGACAGCAGUUGCCUGAAUUGGGAACAUCAUGUAAGACAAAGAUCCUAUGAUGGAUCGCGUGGGUCUUACCCAAGCAGGACCCGCACAGACUGCAGGAGCUUGGGUCUUUUUUAACCGAGACAGGUCAUUAAAAGAAAUGAAAAGAUGUCUUCUGGAAGCUUAAUUAAGGAAGUUAAUUCUAGGUCCUAUCAUAGGCCCAUUAACCUUUUUCUGUUCCUAAAAUAUCUUAUGUAAUGUCAAAAAGAAGCAAAGAUAAGAGAAAGAGCUGUGUAAUUAAACCUACUUAACCUUAAAAUGGAAAUGUGUCAAGGGAUAGACGCAACUGGUAGAAAGCUCCUAACCUGUAUUUACGACCCGAAAACCCAGAACCCACAUGUCUCAUUUUGCGAAGCUUAUUAUUCACAAUGUCUUUACCGUGGUGUUGGAUAACUUGGCAAAUUUACUCACCAUGUCUGACCUGAACCAUGAGAAGGCCGUUCUGAAAAUGCUGGAAGGGCAACACUAUGCUGGUAUGAAGAACAAAUAAAUUGCGGAUUUCUAUAAAGAUUGCUUAUGCACAGAACAUUCCUCAAGUUCUUCAAAGAGACGGUGUUCUCUGACCCAAAAAAUUUCUCUUCCCCAUCCUGUAAGAAUGGAGCCAAGGCUGGGGGUGAGUUUGGUUCAAGAAUGAAGAGAACCUGAUAUAUUUGUAUUUUCUCUCAUGAGAGUACUUAGUGAGGAAUGGAAUGUAAAUUCCUCCAGGACGCCAGUGGAAGGCUAAGUCUGAAGGUGUAGAGGCAUAGCAAAAACUUGGCAGAACCAUGCAGACGGAGUGUUCCCGGCAGAUCCCUGCCCCGUUAGGGAGCCAUUCCGGAGCUGGGAAAGAUGGUUACAGUUGCGUCUGUUCUGCUUUGACGCUGAGCUUCCACUAAGUCCUGGGGCCUGGGCGACAUUACCAGGAGAGGAGCAUUUUCCAGCAAUCCCAAACCAAUCUGAAAGGCCCAAGCUCUAAAGAUUAGCCUAAGCAUGCAGGUCUCCACCACGUAGGCUGCAGACCACAAACACCACAGGCAUUCAUGAUGAUUCCGGAGUCUCCAGGGGCCUCUCAGAGCAACUUCGAAUAUUAGGGUUGACAUAAAACACAGGACACCUGUAUUUUUCUUCGCUAAGUCUGGCAACCCUGCCUGAUAACCGACUGGUAAUCAUCAGCCACCACCACAAAACAGGACUUGGAACCAGACCUAUGGCCUCAUUUUACAUAUGAGAAAACUGGGAUCCAGAGCUUUUUGGGGUAGGGGUGGAAUGCUGUUUUUAAGUCUCAUAGCUACUUCGAGACAGUGUUUGGACUAGUGCUCUUUUUAUUACUGUAAUUGUGUUAACUAGGCUUUCCAAAAAUCUGUCUACAAAUCUGACAUUUUUUGAGCAUACCCUAUUCAGGCCUCUCUGCUAUGUUCUGUGGGUAGACACAAAGAAGUAAACAUACGGAUCUUUUUAGUUUUUACAGUUUUAAUGGGUGAUGGGUCAAAAAUAUGUUUUGAAAUUGGAUUGUGAUGAUCAUUGUACAACUACAAAUGUAAUAAAUUCAUUGAGUAAUAAAAAAAGAAAUAAAAAAUAUUGUCAUAAAAAUUGUCAAGUCUUAGCCAACCAUUAGAUCAGUUAGGAGUGAUUAUUCAAAUCCAGCUGGAACAUGCCUCUUAUCUGCAGUCACUGUCCCUUCAGAAUCCUUUUUUGUGCAUUUUGGCCAGAAGACACGGUAUGAAAAUCCAAUAUGUACAUAAGUUUCUCACUCACUUAUGAAGACAUGAACAGCAGAAAUAGCCUUGGCCUGUAGACAUUUUCGUGAUGACCAUUGUGACUGGUGUGAGGAUGUGGUAAAAAGGGAAUCCUCCUACACUGUUGGUGGGAAUGGAAGCUGGUGCAACCACUAUGGAAGACAUCAUGGAGCUUCCUUAAAAAACUAAAUACAGAACUACCCUAUGAUCCAGCAAUUCCACUCCUGGCAUCUAUCCACAGAAAACUGUAAUUCAAAAAGAUACACAAACCCAGUGUUCAGUGCAGCACUAUUUACAAUAGCCAAGGCAUGGAAGCAACCUAAAUGUCCAUCAAUGGGGGACUAGACAAAGAAGAUGUGGCACAUAUAUACAAUGGAAUAUUACUCAGACAUAAAAAGCAUGAAAUAAUGUCACUUGCAGCAUCUUGGAUGGACCUAGAGAUUGCUACACUAAGUGAAGUAAGUCAGACAAAGACAAAUAUCACAUGAGAUCACUUAUACAUGGAAUCUAAUAAAAAUGGUACAAUAGAACUUACAAAACAGACAUAGCUUGAAGAUUUCAAAAUCAAACUUAUUUUUACCAAAGGGGAAACAUUGGGGGGGGAUAAAUUAGAGUUGGGAUUGAUAUAAAGACACUACUAUGUAUAAAAUAGAUGGGUAAAAAAAAAUAGAUGGGUAACAAGGACCUAGUAUAUAGCACAGGGAAAUUUACUCAAUACUGUAUAAUAAUUUAUAGGGGGAAAAAUUCUGAAAAGGGGAGUUCCCAUAGUGGCUCAGCAGUAAUGAACCCAAAUAAAUCCAUGAGGAUUUGGGUUCAAUCCCUGGCCCCUCUCAGUGGGUUAAGUAGGUCAGAGACGUGGCUUGGAUCCCGCUUUGC
rnacentral:lncRNA from 1 species